ensembl:lncRNA
AACCUCUGAAAAUGCAGUCCAACCCCUCUGCUAAAGCAGCUUCCCUAGGAUACAUUGCACAGGAAAGCAUCCAGGUGGGUGCCGUUUGCAUGUUUACUUAGAGCUGCUGUUGUGGAAAUCUUACCUCACACCAGAAUUUCAUGCAGCUCUGAUAUAUGCCCAUGACAGCACAUGAUAAAAAUAUUAAUCACCUAGCAAACUGAGUACAGAAGAAAUAGGAGCCCAGCCAUGGACUCGACGUCUAUUGCAAAAUCACUUUAGCUCUUUUUCAGCCACUGUGGUCAGCUCUUUGCAGACUUUCUGGCAGCUCUGAACAAAUCUUAUAGCUAGGACUUACUACAAGGUCUGGUCUGAGAUCAUAUGUCAUUUCAGAACCGUGGAUUUAUUCUCUUGGCAGGAUCAGGAAAGUUAACUGAGAUGUUUAUUUCAGAUCAGAGAGGUACUCAGUGGUUAUAAAAUGAAAGAAACAGAGAAUGAACAUAGAAUAGUUGGAUUCUGUUGUGAAAGGAAAGGAAAAGAAAAAGGAAAGAAAAUAGAAAAGGAAAGGGAGAGGAGAGGGAAAGAAGGGAAAGGAAAAAGGUAAUAUCUGAGAAUCUACCAUAGGAAAGAAAUUAACAAAGGCAUUAAAUGAAAGCUAUGCAAUUUUGAACAAAGCCAAAAAUAAGUGUGAAAAUAAAUGAUACUCUAGGAAUCUCUCCUCUUGAAAUAGGUUUAUUUGGAUUGUAUCUGCAGUGUUGCUGGCUCUGGUCUCCAAUUCUAUUUCCUGACUUCCAUUCACAUGUAGGACUUAUGGAGAUUUUAAGAGUCAGGAUAAGAACAUCAGUACUUGUAGUUCUUUAUUUGGACACUUGCACCAAUUUCCAAGAAGGGGCAGAUGUAAAAAUAUUUUUUCCAAGCCAUGAAUGUAUGGGCCACAAGGAGAACCUGGCUUGCACCUUCACAUUCUUGCCUGCAUUUGCAGCUGAGCAGCAUCAUGUGUUUAGGUACAAGGGUGUGGUUCAUGUAUGUGUUACCCAAGGCAGACAUGUGCAUGGAAGUGCCAACUGAAGGGCAAUAUGUCUGCAGAAGUAGGGAUGUUACAAUUCACUGUCCUAAUCCUGCUGAGGUUUAGGGGUGACUGAGAUUUUGGAUCUAAUAGCAUUUUUUAAAGUGAUUCUCCAUUAAUUUGUGACAAAGGAAUGCCAGUGUGCUAAAGCUUCGAGGCCCUGGGAGACAUAUCUUCAAAACAGACACUGGCAGAUGCUGGAAGCACAUUUUGCCAAUGGAAGUAUUCCAGUUCACAAAUUCAUAAGACAAGUUGGGUUGGAAUGGACCUUGGGAGAGUUCUGCUCCAACCUAUUGCUCCAGCAAGAGUCAGCCAUGAGGUUGGAUGGGGUUUUUCAGGCCUUUUUGUUAUCAUGCCUAGAAAACCUACAAGGACAAAGACUGCACAACCUCUCUGGACAACAUCUUUCAACAACUGAUUGCUUACAUUAAAUGGAUGUGCAUCAUCUUUAUCCGUGGAGCUUUUAAAUGUAUGACAAUGUGUCUAACAGAAAAUGAGACAAGGAAUUUGCUUACUAUUUUAUAAACGACAGUAAAUUAUAGUUUCAUCUUUGAGUGGGUCUUAGGAAACCAAAAUAUAGAACAUUUCUAUUCAUAUGGGGCAAAAUUAUUAGGAGAAGGAGGAGCUGUAACGAUCAGUAUAAGAAUUAGUCUCCCCAGUUUUCUUCUCUCCUGUGUAUCUGUUUUGUUCCAUGCUGUCAACAGACAAAGUGAGGCUAUGCUUUUUGUUUUGGAGUGAGAAAAGAGGAGUAGAAAUAUAGACACAACAUCUUUGGUAUAAAUUUAGCCUGUCAGUACUGUCUGACACUUGACCUACUAUCCACAGGAGUUCAACUCCUGCCUCAAAGCCGUGGAUCCUUGCUGUAAUGUACGGUAACAUUUACAUCAUGACUCUCUUUUAAUCCACUGCUUAGUAAUAUAUGGUCACUAAGGCACAGAGAGGCACUGGGUAACUUGCCAAGAGAUUGAUGAAAUGUACUAAUAUUGAAUUUGCAUACAUUGCCUCUCAGUUUGCAUUCCUUCCCUGUGAUGCCUUACAAGAACAAAUAAAAUAUAGCUUAGU